GGAUCCUUCAGUGCUUCGUCAUGCAUCCUCUCUGAUGGGUAUAUUUCGGCGUAGAAACCAGAACUUCUCGACUGAUGAGACAGGCACGUUUUAGGACGACACGCGUGUGAUCAGGGUCAGCGGGCGGGCGCGGCUUCCCUAGCGGCGCCUCCCGGCCCGGGCCGCACACGAACGCGCUUGGGGACGCGCGUGCCGUGCACGCGCAGGGCCGCCUGGAGGGUCCGGAGGGAGCUGCAAGGCGCCUCAGUGGCUCCCACAGGACACAGGUCCUGUCUGCAGCCGCCAAGGUCAAGGGCUGUGGUUUGAGACUGCUUGCAGCUGCUUCCUGUCCCCCACUGCGCUCAGGGACAGAAGUUAAAAAAGUAGUCAGUGACCUUCGAUUCUUCAGUGUGAUCGCUACACUCCCAGAGGUCCUGAGUUUAAUUCCCAGCAAAGAGAUAUGGAGAGAGUAGACAGCCUUCCUGAUUUCAGUGGGAUUGCUUUGAGUUUCUCUCCAUUUAGUCUGAUGUUGGCUGUUGGCUUGCUGUAUAUGGCCUUUAUUAUGUUUAGUUUCUUUGUAUGGUGGAUUGCAUUGACAGAUUUUACAUAUGUUGAAGCUUUCUUGCAUCUCUGGGAUGAAGCCUACUUGCUCAUGAUGGAUGGUUUUUCUGAUGCGUUCUUGUAUUUGGUUUGCCAGUAUUUUGUUGAAUAUUUUUGCAUCAAUGUUCAUGAGUGACAUCGCACUCAAUUUGAUUAUUUCCUGCCAUCUAAUUCUCCUGGUUGUGAAGACCAUGUGAGGGCCAUGUGAGAACCAUGUGAAGGCCAUGUGCAGAUCACAUGAAAGCCAUGUGAAGACCAUGUGCAGAUCACAUGAAGGCCAUGUGAAAACGAUGUGAAGGCCACAAUCUCUUGUUCAUGGACACCUGCAGUUUAUCCAGAGUCAUUUAUCAUUAUUUUCUCGAUAA